ensembl:snoRNA SNORD114-13 small nucleolar RNA, C/D box 114-13
UGGACCAAUGAUGACCACUGGUGGCGUAUGAGUUAUGCACAUGAAUACCAUGUUUCUAGAAUUCUGAGGUCCAA